rnacentral:lncRNA from 1 species
CUGACAGACACAGCCAUGGCCAACAGGACCGAUGCCUCUGUCCCGUUCACCAGCUAUGAAUAUUACCUGGACUACAUAGACCUCAUUCCUGUGGACGAGAAGAAGCUGAAAGCCAACAAGCGUAAGUCGGAACCCAGGAAGGCGGCCAGGCAGAGGCUGGGGCUGAGCCCUAGACUCCAUUGUCAUUGCCUUGUGGUUGAGCCUGGCUACUUUUGUGGUGCUCCUCUUCUUCAUUCUGCUCUACAUGUCCUGGUCAGGCUCCCCACAGGUAAGGCAUAGUCCCCAAGCCUACCAAGUAUGUUCAUGGACUCACGGCUUCCACCUCCCCCUGUGUCUCCGGAGGGCCUCCCUGCAGACAACAGAUGAGCCAGGAAGUAGAGCUGGCAUUGACCAAUGGUUACAGCAGCAGAGUCCUUCUGCCUCGCCCGCUGGGCCCCUGGCUCUCCCCUAGGACCAGGUUCAGGAUGGGUGUCCUAGGGCAUCAGCUGACCUCAGGCACAAGCAGUGUGUAGUGGUGAACCUGGAGACAGAACUUCUCAACUGUAGAACUGAUGGUGCCCACGAGCAG